rfam:Solanum lycopersicum cultivar Heinz 1706 chromosome 1, whole genome shotgun sequence.
UUGUUUCUAGAAAGGAUAGAUGGUUGGCAUCUCCCCCGAAAGGGAUGGGAAAGGCCUUGGGGUUUUACCUGUUACCAGACACAUCCGGUUAAGGCUACCCACUUCAGUGGAUCUUACAUUUU